ACCUUAGAGACCUACUAAGUUUGUUAUUGGUAUGAGCUUUUGUGUGCAUGCACACUUCUUCAGAUACCCAUGCACACGAAAGCUCAUACCAAUAACAAAUUUAGUAGGUCUCUAAGGU